rnacentral:misc_RNA from 1 species
GAACCUCUGUGUGUGCAUGUGUGUGUGUGUAUGUGUGUGUGUGGCGUCUGCAGCGCCUCGCCCACAAUCUCCUUCCUCCCUCCCCCUUCCGUGACGCCGCACGCCCACACCCGCUCACUCGCAUAUCCGCCUCGCAGCAUCCAGUCACAGACACCGUUCUCUCAGCGUUGCUUGUUCCCCCACCGACAACCUCAUUCAGACCACGCAGGAGUCCAUAAAGCGCUCACUGCUGCUGCCCCUAUUGCCCCAGCACCUCCACCUCACCUCACCCACGCAUGUCGGACGCGGAAGGCUUUGCGGACUUGUUCGGCGGUGUCGAAGAGGUGCCGGAGUCGCCGCUGCAGACGCUCUUCAUUAGCCGCCAGGCACUCGCCGGGGAGGGGACGACGUGCGCCUACUUCAACCCUCUCCUGGACCGGUUUGACAACGUAUCGUCUGCGGCGACGGCGGAGGAGGAUGCGGCGUUGCUACGUCAGCGCCUCGUGCGCCUCGCGCCGCCGCCGCUGGUGGUUCGCUUCCGUGACAAGCGACACAGCCUGUGGGGGCACAAGCUCUGGAAUGCGGCCAAGUAUCUCGUAAAGCGCAUGGAUGAGCGUAUGAUCGACGUGCGUGGCAAGUCUGUCAUCGAGCUUGGUGCCGGCCUCGGCGUUCCGACGCUGGCAGCGUACAAGAACGGCGCGCGGCUGUGCGUCAUGACGGACUACCCUGAUACGAAUCUACUCGACAUCCUCGCGCUGAACUUGGAGACAAACUGCGCCCCUGGCGACAUGGACGCUGACGUGAAGCGCGAAAUGGAGGAGCAAGCCCGGCAGCAGCUCGCCAACGGUGGCAACCUCGACAGCGUCUCGGCUGAUCAGCUGGAAGCCGCCAUGAGUACCCGCUGUUACGUGGAGCCCCUUCUCUGGGGCAAGAAGGAAGACAUUGCUAAAGUGAUGCAGUACACGACCGGCGGCGCUGGCUACGACAUCGUCAUCCUAUCCGACAUCAUCUUCAACCACGUCUGCAACGAUGACCUCGCCGACACGCUCGCCAUGCUCCUGGCCAAGAAUCCACACGCGGCCGGCUACUGCGUCUUCUCCCACCACCGCGCGUAUAAGCAGCUGCACGACUUCGAGUUCUUCGACAAGUGUGUGCGCCGCGGACUGCAGUAUGAGCACCUGGACGAGCAGGACUACCCAAUGAUGUUCCCGGAGGAUCGCGGGCCGGAGUCAGUGCGGAAGCCGGUGAAGUGCUACAAGAUCACCCGUCGCUACGACGCCGCCGGCUGCGGCUUGGACACGAGCCUGUGCUUCGACGUGGUGCUGCAGGGGACGGGGAUGGUGCAGUCGAUCCUGUCGGCCGCUCUGGCGCGAAACGGGCUGAAGGUGCUGCACUGCGAUGGUGCGGAUUACUAUGCUGCCGCCAUGGCCACCUUCGACCACGCUACGUUUCUCCAGUACUUGCGCCAGCCAUCGCCAUCGUCGAUGUCUUCGUUCAGCGCGCCAGACAUCUUCAUCAACCGCAUCGUCGACGAUGUGCCGGAGGCACGCCGCCGCCGCUACCUCUUUGACGUGCUCCCGAUGUGCUACAUGGCGCGUGGUCCGCUGCUGAGCCAUCUCGUCUCCUCUGGCAUAGGUCGAUCGCUGGAGUGCCAGCACGUGCACCGCUUCCUCUUCCUGCAGCACCCAACAGCAGCCGGUGCUGGCUCGGCGGCGACGACGACUGCGAUGGAGGUUCCGCUGACGCGGGCAAGCGUCUUCCACAACGCCACCAUCGGGCUCUUUGACAAGCGUCGCAUGAUGCGUUUCGUGAAAGAUGUCGAGGCGUCCGUGGCGGAGCAGCUGCACGCCAAGGCCGCGAACCCGGCUGACGACCCGUCCGUCGCGAACACGUCCGUAGCCGCCGAGGCGGCUGUGGCCAAGGCAGCGGCCGUCUUCACCCGCGAGGCGCAGGCGAAUCCGCAGGUCACCUUGACGGAGCUCUUGCAGAGCAAGUACGAUCUCUCCGGCACCGUCCUCGACGUCGUCUCGCUCAUGGGCAUGAUGGAUGUUCUGCCCGCGACGAGCAGCACAAGCGUGGCCUGCAGCCAGGGGGCUGCGGCGGAGCCGCCUCUUGUUCGGUCGGUGGGCAUGGUGCGCGAUCUUCUUCUCUCCACCGGUGCCUUCGAUGGCAAGUCUCCUUACCUCACCAUGUCGUAUGGCGCCUCCGAGGUGGCGCAGAACAUGUGCCGCGUCUCCGCCGUCUGGGGCGGCAUAUUUGUGCUGCGCCGCAGCCUCCGCGGCGUCGCCGUUGACGAAGGCAAAGAGACGCAGUACGCCGUACUGAGCAACGGGCAGUGGGUACCCGCCAAGGUCAUCGUCACCCCAGAAGAGCUCGCCGCAGCGAACUAUCUGAGCUACGGGGUCAACGACUGGUACUACGACUUCCUCAAGGAGCAGGAGCAGGGCCGGACGCCGCUCAUCCCACUGCCGGCGGAGCAGAGCGGCGCUCCUGUUCUAGCCGCUGCAGUGGACCAGACCAAAACGAGCGACAAGGGCGCGGCUGCCGAGCCUGCGACUGCGUCGGCAUCCCCUGAAGCGGUGGUCCGCUUCAGCCGGGUCGUCCUGGCGACUAAAACCGCAUCGCUCUUCUCGCUGGCAGCCAUGCAGGCCGCCGGUGUAAUUGAGGUGGAUGACGCGCGCGACUACACGGCCGCUGCGCCGAUCAUCACAGCCCUCGCGAGGGAGCCACAGACGCGAGCGGUGGUGUGGGUCAUGCAGCAGUCGUUCGCGUCCGACCAGGCACCGGCGCGCUUCUCCGCAAGCGACGCCGACGGUGGUGCCGCGUGUGACCCGUGUGUAGUGCACUUCACGGCCGACGCAAAGCAGCUCUCGCAAGAGCAGCUGCAUGAGUACGUCAUGCACUACUACACGUCCACCGCGAAGACGGAAAAGCCGUACUGCGUCCCCUACAGCGACAUCGUUCUGGCGGCUGCCUUCACCGUGGACAGUCGCGAGGUUGCUCAGCGCGGCGUGGUGCCGCACCCGGUGGAGCUGCCGAGCGAAACGCGCUGGACGCAUCCGUACGGUUGGGAGGAGUCCAUGAAGCUGCGGAGCGCCUAUGAGAACGACCGCAAACAUCUCCUGCACCACGGGCGGACGGGAGAAGAUGCUACGCCAUCGGCUGUCGAGCCCACCCCGGUGUGCUCGGCUGCGGCGCGGGCGGCUGACCUCUGCCGAAGUUCUGAGAACUUUCACCUUGUCGAGGUGCCGACGCUGCUGCCGAACCUUGUGUACGAUGGGCAUUAUGUGCAGGAGGCUGAGAGGGCGUACAAGCGCGUGCUUGAUGCCCUUGGCCUGCCGACAGCCGCCACGGCAACGUCCGCAGCGGUAGCGGAGGGCGACGAGGAAGCAGCGCAGGCGUACGCCUUCCUAAAGCCGCUCCCGCACUAGCAGUGGAAGGCUCGAAGGAAGCGAGCAGUGCAGAAGCUCCCCUUCUGUGUGUCCCCGCGACAGCGCGACGUCGAGCGUGGAUAGUUCAACCUGGGACGCGACCUCCGCCUCAACCCCUUCCCUCCCUUGCCCCCCGGGCUCCUGUGUCUAACGCGCUAACUUCAUAAGCGGUACCGCGUUACCGUGCGCACAUGGGCACGUGUGUACGGUCUGACACACGCGCGGGACGGCAGCACGGCGAGAAUGCGAAACGGUGCAAAGCCCACGCUAUACAUACCCGUAACGGAUGACGAAC